CCCAGUGAGCAAGGCCAGGGAUCAAACCUGUGUCCUCAUGGAUACUAGUCAGAUUUGUUUCCGCUGAGCUACGACAGGCACUUCCUUCCAGAUGAAAUUUAUGUGUUCUGUUAGGUAAAAUAAAAUGUAAGGAAAGAAAUCACAUCACUCAACUUAUCAAGAUUUUGGAUGCAAUUUUGUUAAAAGAAUGUCGUCUUCCCAUCUAUGAAGCCAGUACAAGUUUCCAUUCACAUCUUUAAUGUCACAUGGUAGAGGGAAAGAGUGUCUUUUGUGUAAGUUCUGCCUGGUUCUUGUUAAACUAGUCCCAGAUACUGAUGCUGCUGUGAAUGGAGCUUAUUUCCUAUUACUACUCUUGGCAUUAAGAGAAACAAUUGAUGGAAAAGUGUGCAGACCUGUACAUCAUCUUAAUCAUAGUCAAAGUUUAUAUUAUGACAAAUGGGACAAACUGACAUGGUAUGUAUGAAACUGAUCUGAUGUCAUUUUACUGAGAACAUAACAUCUCUUAUGUUAUGCCAAGAAAUUAUAACCUGCAUUUAAUUUUAAGGAAACAGUCACCCAAAGUCAAAUUAAGGAACACUCUUCAAAACAGGGAGCCUGUCCUCUUCAAAAUUACCAAUCCAUAAAAAAAAAAGAAAAAUUCAAAAAAGCUGCAGAGCUGGAUGAAAGGGGUCUAAAUGAUAUAAGAAUAGAAUGUAAGGAAUGACUCUGAAUUGGAUGCUGGAUCAGAAAAAAAAAAGUUAUAGAGGACAUUAUUGGGACAAUGGGUGAAAUUCGAAUAUGGUCCAUAUAUUUGAUAAUAAUAUAUCAGUGUUCACUUUUCUUGAAUUUGAUCUGUAAAAGGAUGCCCUUGUUAGAAAAUACAUGCUAAUUUUAGGGGUGAUAGUUCGUGUUUGCUGCUUACUCUCAAAUGGUGAGGAAGAUGAGAGAGAAAUAAACAGAAUGCAGAUGUGGCAAAAUAUUAACAAAUGACAAAUCUAAGUAAACACUUUACAGGUGUUCAUUCAGAACGAAUCAUUCAUGCAACUUUGCCGUAAGGUUGAAAUUUUUCAAAAUAAAAAGGUAAAAAGGGUAGGAAAAUUAUUAACCGCAUGUUUAAUGGCAAGAUCCUUUGAUUCAUGUUUGCCGUUUUAUUUACAGUUUUGGUGUAUUACUUUUGAAAUCCAGUUUUGAGUGGAGUAGGGCAAAUCAUCCAACCGACCAGAUAAAGAAGGAACUCUUCGGACAUUCCCUAAGGAAGGGGGCGCAGAGACUUAUAGGAAACAGAGCCCGAAUUUGAUGGAUCACCUGGAGGAGAGCGUGGGAACUUGGCCUCGAAUCUCCUUUUGCGCAUGCGCAGUUCUCCCUCAUUGUUUGGCUCAGUUGUCUCCAGCUUUAUGUGGUAGAUAAUCCUGGAGGCUUCGGGUUUACGCGACGCUCUGUCGCUGGUUCCUGCACGAAGGAUGAGUGCUACAGCUCUGCCUUUACAGUUUUCAACUUUUCCAGGAGCAGGAGAAAAUGAACACAGCCCGGGGAUUUGUGUUGUUCGAGGAUGUAUCUGUGGACUUCACCCAGAAGGAGUGGCGGCUGCUGGUUGAUGCUCAGAGGCUCCUGUACAGAGACGUGAUGCUGGAGAACUACAGGCACCUGGCAUCCCUGGGCUUGAAUCCCAAGCAACUUUGCCAAGUGCCAUGUCAUUUCCCACAACAAACCUGAGCUGAUAUUCAAGUCGGAGCAGGGAGAGGAACCACGGAUAUUAACGGGAGGACUCCCAAGUCACAGCCACCCAGUCCAAAGAACCACUCACGUGAAUGAAAUAACACAAGAAAAUGAAAACAAGUAUUUGAGGCAAACUUUAUUCAUCAACAACAAAGCAGUGACUUAAGGAGAGAAGUAAGACCUUCAGAGAAAUGCUUAAUAUGGCCACAAAUCUAAUGCCCUCAAGAAAACUGUCCCAUAAAUGUGACCUAUCUGUAACAAACUUGAAAAUUAUUUCUGAAUUAAUUAUUCAUAAUAGAAGCCAUGUGAGAAAAAAGUCUAAUCUCAAUGGAUAUGGAUUCCUUGAUACUGUGCAUGAGAAAAUGGUUACAGGGAACAAGCCCUGUGAAAAUGAUCAAAAGAAGAAAUCCCACAGACUAAUUGAGGACUUUGUUCAACAUCAGAAGAAUUCAGCUUGGGAGCAACUUCUUGAAUAUAAUGAUUGUGAGAAAGCCUCUCCCAGAAAGACAGCCUUUAUUAUAUGCAAGAGAGCUCAUACAGGUCAGAAACCCUCUGAAGGUAACAAAUACAGUCAAGCCUUCAUCCAAAAGUUAAAGCUCAGUGCUUGUCCACGAACCCUUAGGGAAAGGAAACCACAUGAAUCCAGUGAAAAUAGGAAAUCCUCAUUCAUGAAGCCAAAACAUACACAUCAGAGAGCUUACUAUGAAUGUAGUAAAUUGGGGAAAUCCUUUAGCAAGAAGUCAAACCUUACUCAGUGUCAGAGAAGGCAUCCAGGAGGACAACCUCAUGGGUAUAACGGAAGUGAGGGAGCCUUGCAGAAGUCACUCCUCACUCAAAAUGAGUGAACUCACAUAAGAAAGAAAAUCCAUGAUGCUAACAAAUGUGGGAAAUCCUUCCAGGAAGAGCCACGCCUGACUCAACAUCCGAGAACUCACACAGCAGAACAGCCCAAUGAGUGUAAUAAUAGUGAGAGAGCCUUAAGAAAGGAAUCCCACCUCGCUCUAAAUCAGAGAAUUAAUACAAGUGAGAAAAGCUUUGACAGUAGUUAAGUGUGAGAAAUCCCCCCACAAGAAGUCAAAAUUCAUGCAACAUCAGAGAGCACACUCGGGGGAACAAAAUGAGGGUAGUGAAAGUGAGGGGGUUUCAAGCAAGGAGGAACCUCUUGCUCGAAAUCAGAGGGCUUGCAAAGGGAAGAAAACCUUUGACUGUAAUAAAUGUGGGGACAGCUUCCCUAAGAAAACAGACCUUACCCAACAUCAGAGUGUGCACACAAGAAAAAAGCCCUAUGAAUGUAGUGAAUGUGGAAAGUCGUUCUUUGUGAAGUCCAACCUCACUGAACAUCAAAGAAUUCACACAGGAGAAAAACCCUAUGAAUAUAAUGAAUGUGGAAAGUCCUUCUGCCAGAAGUCAGCCCUCACUGUACAUCAGAGAACUCAUAUAGGAGAGAAACCCUAUAAAUAUUUUGAGGUGGGAAAACCUUCCGUGUGAAGUCAAAUCUUACUCAACAUCAGAGGACCUACACAGGAGAGAAACCCUAUAAAUGCCAUAAAUGCUGGAGAUCUUUCUAUGUGAAAUCCAAUUUGGUCGUACAUCAGAGAACUCAUAUGAGGGAGGAAACCUACAAGUGCCUCGAAUGUGGGAAAACCUUCUAUGAAAAGUCAGCUCUCAAAAGACAUCAGCGAAUUCACACAGGGGAAAAACCCUAUGAGUGUAAUGAAUGUAGAAAAACUUUCAGCUAGAGGUUAGCCCUCACCAAACAUCAAAGAAAAACACACAAAAAGAAACCUGUGUAUGUCCAGAAGCCAUCUUCUACAAGUUAUAUGCAUUGAACAUCAGGAAAACCACACGGCAGAACCACUAUGAUGUCAACAUGUAUAGUAAAAUCUUUUUCAAUAGGACAUAGCUUGAUGGAAUUGGAGAAGUAAUAUAGGAGUGAAAUAGAAACACUCUAUAAACGCUUUGCUCAUGUGAAAGCUUUCAAGAAGUGUUCGAAGAUAUUGAGGGGAAAUGUUUUAUUUUUUAAAAUACAGAUUGAAAAUGUGGAUAAAAAUGAUGUUGUGGAAAAGUGUUCUUGUGGAAAUAGUCAUAUUUCAGACAUGAUAUCAAACUUAUUGCAAAAAAUAAUAAAAUAUUCAGUUCUUAGUAGAAUGAAAUGUGGAGGUUUUGUCAAAGCAGGAAUAGUUUAAGUCAUUGGCACAGCAGCAUUAAA